rnacentral:rRNA from 1 species
AUUGAACGCUGGCGGCAUGCCUUACACAUGCAAGUCGAACGGCAGCGGGGGAGAAGCUUGCUUUUCCUGCCGGCGAGUGGCGAACGGGUGAGUAAUACAUCGGAACGUGCCCUGUAGUGGGGGAUAACGAGUCGAUAGAUUAGCUAAUACCGCAUACGACCUGAGGGGGAAAGUGGGGGACCGCAAGGCCUCAUGCUAUAGGAGCGGCCGAUGUCUGAUUAGCUAGUUGGUGGGGUAAAGGCCUACCAAGGAGACGACCAGUAGCUGGGCUGAGAGGACGAUCAGCCACACUGGGACUGAGACACGGCCCAGACUCCUACGGGAGGCAGCAGUGGGGAAUUUUGGACAAUGGGCGAAAGCCUGAUCCAGCAAUGCCGCGUGUGUGAAGAAGGCCUUCGGGUUGUAAAGCACUUUUGUCCGGAAAGAAAUGGCUCUGGUUAAUACCUGGGGUCGAUGACGGUACCGGAAGAAUAAGGACCGGCUAACUACGUGCCAGCCGCCGCGGUAA